ACUCCUACGGGAGGCAGCAGUGGGAAUAUUGGACAAUGGGGGACCCGUAGCAUCCAGCCAUGCCGCGCUGUGUGAAGAAGGCCUUAUGGUUGUAAAGCACUUUAAGCGAGGAGGAGGCUACUAGUAUUAAUCUACUGGAUAGUGGACGUUACUCGCAGAAUAAGCACCGGCUAACUCUGUGCCAGCAGCCGCGGUAAUACAGAGGGUGCGAGCGUUAAUCGGAUUUACUGGGCGUAAAGCGUGCGUAGGCGGCCAUUUAAGUCAAAUGUGAAAUCCCC
rnacentral:rRNA from 1 species